rnacentral:lncRNA from 1 species
AUGUAAAUACUACUUUAAUUAAACUGUGAUUUUGGGUCCCACAAAUAUAAUAACAUGGGAAGGCUAAAGAAGCCAAAGUAUUAAGAAGUCAUUUUUCUUUUUUCUGAAUUUCAGGGAAGAAGUCAGUUAUUUUUUUAUUUGUUGAAAGGGGGAAAAAUAUGUCUUUUCAUGAAUGACUGUCUCCCAUGAAGUACUCUUGACAUGAAGAAUCCAUAGAACAAUGUGGGUAGCAGUAAAGAAAAAAAAAUACGAGAGAACACUCACUCCAAUUAAAUUAUCUUUCAAAGAUGUUUCUAAAUCUCCUCAUUAUACUGCAGAGUUGUGUUGACCAUUCAACAAACCAUUUAUUAGAUUAUCCUACACAUGUCAGAUAAAGUAUAGAACUUAAUCUUUUUAAGUCUAAAAAGGAGACUAAAAAGUAAAUACUUUUAAAAGUAUAAUGAAUUCCAAACCUAUUAAGGAGUUGAGUGUUAAUAUCCUCACUCCCACUCUGCAGUGUGAAACAACGCACAGCCAUGCUGAGAACUGCACUAGAGAAGGCAAUGCUUUCAGACAGGCACUGAAGAGGACGCCCACACGCCACCCGCCGCUGACCAGGAUGCCAGCGCACAGCGCACAGCGGGGCAGGGUCAAGGAACACACAGUAAGGGGUUCACCUCUGUGUGAGUGACUCAUCUCUAAUGCCUUAUUUAUAACAAGCAAUGCAAGAAGCCAACAGAAAGCUAUUCUUUCGUGUAAAAGAAACUAAAUAUUCAGGAUGCCUGAACAUGGCUCCCUCCUAAACACAGAACUGACUUUGCCAUGUGGACCGGGAGCAUGGAUGGACUGAGAAUGAACUUUGGAAGAGUUUUUAGUGUGACUCUCAGAAGGGAUGAUUCCCUAACCUUCAGGUGACAGUCUGGUUUUACUUUAAAAGAUUCAUCUUAUAAACAGUUAUUUGGCAAUAUAAAAUAAUCACUUUCCAACUCCAUCUCUAAUAACUAUCUGCUUCUCAUCAAACCAAAAUCUUCUCACAGAGGGACAUUAGAUCACAUUACCUGCCAACAGGGAACUGCUGUCAUUUAUAAGCAGGAAUACCUCACACAGUAGGCUCACUAGAGAAAAUCUCUGCUUUCAACUAUGGGAUGAUAAGUACAAGAUGUGUCCAUUGCAGAGUCUGUUACUUGGUGGGCUUCCUCUAACUGUCAUUUACUAUCCUGAAUUGUUCACUAGCUGUAUAACCUACCCAGGUAUGAACAUUGCUAAGCCAUUUUUACAGAAGAAAAAAACAAUGUCUUGAGUACUUUCACUAAAAUAACAUUAGCAGUUAAAGGAGAGAAAGCCCAUCUUCCCUUCAGGUACCAGAGAUUACAGUUGCUGACAUUCAUAUUCUCAGAGCACAUAGUCAGUCAUCAACGGCAGCAACUUCACAAGUUAAGUCACAGUAACACAAUGAACUGGCCUUUAUAAAUGGUCCCAGAACCCGCAGAGACACAGUGAGCCUUCUUUGUUACUGUCCCUCAUGUACUCAACACUACACUAAUACUAGCUUCUAUCCCAUUAGGGCCUGUGCAGGGUUUGUUUUUGAUUCCAGUAUUGCCUUACCAUAAGUGCUACGUUUUCAUAUAAGCAUUACAAAAGAUGCUGAACUUUCUUUGCAUAUUAAUACCCACCUACUACUAAGAGACUAGAAUUGCUUCAACAGCUAGAGGGGUGACAAAGUGGACACCUCUGGGCUUAGAAACAGAUAUUCCUCUAACAGGGAGCUCACAAAAAAACCAAGAGAAAAGCAAAUUACAGGCUUGGAUGUUCGUUCUGAGACGGAAGGAAAGUGUGCUUUUGCUAAUUAUUCAGUCCAUUAUCAGUAUUUCCAAGACUGCCCUCCCUUCAGCAACCAUCAUGGGCAUCUGAACAGAAGGGAGCUUGCUCAACAUUUUUGGCGUGAAGCUGUAACUGGCAACAUUCCUGAUCACUUCAAGCCUCCUUACUCGAAAGCGAAGAAGGGCUUUUAAAUGCACAUAAACAGAAAACUGCAAACAAUAAAAGGUGCAACCUCCUGCAAACUCAGUUUGACAACUAAACGAGUUUCAGCAGCUAACACAGAGACAGACAGACAGUGGCAGUCCAAAUUGACUACUCACGACUUCCCUCUCCCUGGCAAAGAGGAGCCGAUAAGGAGACGGCCAUGUGGCUCUGCUACAGUCUUCAGUCGAUGCACACUGGAGACAAAAUGCAUUUUCUGGGAAUUCAGUUACCUAAAAUGAUUCUAGUGGGGAUGUGAGAACAGCCUAACAAACGAAAUGACACUUUUGAGGUGAGGUAACCACUCACUCUCACUCUAUUACAGCAUACUAAAAUAAAAAAGCUACUGACAUAGGCUCACAGAUCAAACAGUCAAAAAGCUGUUCUCACAAUUCAGGAGAGAAGUUCAUGGUGAUACCAAAUAUAAUUUUGCUUUGUGACAUAAUUUAUAAUUUAGGAUUUUCUCAAUUUGCAAAAAAAGGCAAAGCUAUUAAAAACAAAUGUUCCAAUUAACUAACAUUAUUUUUAAGGAAAAAAAGGAAACAUAUUACAAACAUAUUUGCCUCCCCAACUUCAGUAAAUACAAAAUAGGUCAGAUCAUGAUUUCAUCUGGUCAUGUGACACUUUCUCUCCAAAGCUCAGGCACGUGGUGUCUGCAUAAUGCCUGGUAACCACCAUCAUUCCUUUGCAAGGCCUUCAACAGGAAGACCUGGUCAGAAGUAGCACGAGGAACACACACAUAAGAAGUAGGAAAAUACGUCCCAACCUUAAACUCGCAGGAAGGAAUUAGGAUCAGACAGUCCCUGACUAAAGGAUUGCUGUACCACACACGUCAUUUAGAGACAUGCUGCCUCACUUUUAAGAGUGUCUGCAUGUAAAUCAGGUGGAGCUCAGAUGUAGACACCUGACGAUAUCUGAAGGGGCAGGGAGCCAUCAGCAGAGCAGAGCAGAGCAGAAAAUGAAGCUCCACCCCGCUGGGAGGGGAAGGCAGGCAAGAGGAAACCCUCACAUCACUUCACAGUCACCAACUUACUGCACUACCCAACAAGAUUUUUUACCCUAAAGCCUUGGUACGUUAAAAAAAUUUUCCAAUUUUACUUAAAUUAUUUUAAAAGUACCUAAGGUGAGUCAAAUUAUGUCUAAUUUCCAAAUUCUGCUUUGACAGAACUGUUAAAAUGUGUGUCCUUCUGAUAUUACACAUCACUUCACAACUGGUACACGGUUCUACAGGUGUCCUCCACAGUUCACAAAUCUCACCAAAGAAUCACAACUGUAAACAUGUAAAAACUAGGAGCCAAUGAUGGACCAAACAGGCCGAGAUGUCAUCUUUCGAAUCUCUCUGGUGUAGCCUGCUUUUGCACACCAAAACAUUUUUUUCAUUACUACUUACAAAUGUGUUCCAUGAGUGGGGAAUCUGAAACAAAUGCACAUGAUAGAAGAGAGGUGGGGGGUCACGACACUCCCCAUGACUGAUGUGAGCUCCGCCUCUGGGCUCCUUUCCUCACAGGCUGAUUUUAGCAAGGCGCUAUCACUCUGAGACCACCCCUCUCUGUUCAGGAUGCUUUAGCAACUCAGUAGGAAGGAAGGACGAAUCUUGCAAGGCAUGAGACAGGAGGAGGGGGAAGGGCCUAUGCUUAUUCUGGGAGUGAGGAGAGACAAGCCACAAGCGACAGCUACUGCACUGCACAGCACACACACAGGACGAAUGAACAAGCAGGCACAGGCAGUUAAGAGACCAUGUUCUUUUCAGCUAAUGUAUCAUAAUUAGGAAUGGCAUCCUGGCCUCCCUGUGGUGUCUGGCAGUUGGUGCUAAGUCAGAGCUUUGAUUUGUGUCCGCACACCACCUACUACACAGGAUCUCAACAGAACAUCCAGAACAACCUAUGUAAAACCUGGCUAGAGAAUGGGAAGCAUUAUCUCAACAGUAGGAGACAGUAAAGGGCACUGGUAAUCUGAGGUAUCUUCCACUUCUAGGACUUGCUGAAAUAAAAACAAAUAAAAAUAAAAAUAAAAAAUAAAAUAAUCAAUCCUACCCAGUCACUGUGCUGAGCCACCAAAAAGCCUGCCAGGCCGAGUGACCCGCCAGGCUGAGCGGACCGCCAGGAGGGAAUGAGCACCAG